CGUGGUUUGAAGGGAAGUGAGUUUUUUUGGAAGUAGUGGUCAAACCAAUUAGUCUUUAGAUCUGAAUAUUGGCACCUUUGUUGGCCACUAAGAGGUGGACACGCCUCUGAGGACACGAGGGGUUAAAAGCCGGAUUUCCCAGCAGGACUCUCUCUUUCCUGCUCUGCUUUCGGAGAGGGAGCGUCUUCUCCUCUCCCCUGCCCAGGCCUGGCUAGGCCGGGUGGGGGAGGGGAGCAAGGUGGGCCUGGCUGAGCAAGAGAGAAGGUGCCGAGCUGGAGCUGCUUGUGAGAACUGCAGUGUCUGCGAUCGCCUGUGCCUGACCUUGGUGGUGGGAGAUAAAGCUUUUAACUCUUUCUAAGGCAGAAGAGAGUUAUCCCUGGACGCUGUAUUCUCAUAGUUGGUGGUUUUAGAAGAGAGAGGACAGCCUGGGACCAAGAGGGUAAUGGGAGAUGGAAAGAAGCCCCUUCGAUUGCCGGAAUGAAGAGGAGUGGCUUAUGAGGCUGGACCUUUCUUGCAUAAUGAUAGCCAUAGACGGACCCUGGACCCUCCUGACUAUAAAUAAGACUGUGUUUGGGUGGAUGUUUUUGGCUCAAACCCAGAGACGUUCUGGCCUGCUUCUUGGAGCCCCCGGCCCCAGGGGUAAAUGGGGGGGACCUGAGUCCCAAAAUGAGAGGAUGGCUGGUUUUUGGUACUUGGCCAAAACAUCCUUAAAAAGAGCCCUGUUGCAGUGCAGGUCCAUGGACGGCAGUGAGAGUGCCGGACAUGGAAAGGAGGGUGUCACCCUGGCAGACUCUUCGAGGCAGUGCCAUGGGUGACGUGGGAACACGGGAUGGUGGACCUGUGUUUCCUGUGGGGGGGUGGUCUGUGGUGCGAGAGAGACUCCUCUCGUCCUGGAUGGAAUGUGGAUUGUCUGAAUUUUAAAGGAUGAUGAUUUGGAUUAGGAACCCAGGGUUGUUGAGGGAUUAAGCAAGUAGAUGAAGGUAAUGUGCUGGAGUCAACUGAGUGAGCAUGUAUGGAAUGGAAAUUGGGGGGAGGAGAAGCAGUGUUUUUGGGAGGUUUUCUCUUCUGCUUUUGGGUGGUUGGGUUUUUCUUUCCUUUUCUAUUGUCCAUUGUUAUGUAAUAUAAUAAAUUGUCUGUCUGUUUCAAGAA